GGCCAUUCUCAGGGCGGGGCGAAAUUCCCCACCGGCGGUAUGCGGCGAAAUCCGCGAGCCCGCGAGCGCCUCGCCGUCGUGCAAGGGUCAGCAGAUCAGGUGCGAGGCCUGAGCCGACGGUUACAGUCCGGAUGGAAGAGAAUAUGC
rfam:Thioclava sp. 25B10_4, complete genome.